rnacentral:rRNA from 1 species
UACAGAGGUCUCAAGCGUUGUUCGGAAUCACUGGGCGUAAAGAGUACGUAGGCUGUCAUGUAAGUCAGAAGUGAAAGGCAGGGGCUCAACCUCUGGACUGCUUUUGAUACUGCGUGACUUGAGUAAUGGAGGGGGAACCGGAAUUCUCGGUGUAGCAGUGAAAUGCGUAGAUAUCGAGAGGAAGACUCGUGGCGAAGGCGGGUUCCUGGACAUUAACUGACGCUGAGGUACGAAGGCCAGGGUAGCGAAAGGG